CAGAGCCGCGGUAAUACGUAGGUGGCAAGCGUUGUCCGGAAUUAUUGGGCGUAAAGGGCUCGCAGGCGGUUUCUUAAGUCUGAUGUGAAAGCCCCCGGCUCAACCGGGGAUGGUCAUUGGAAACUGGGAGACUUGAGUGCAGAAGAGGAGAGUGGAAUUCCACGUGUAGCGGUGAAAUGCGUAGAGAUGUGGAGGAACACCAGUGGCGAAGGCGACUCUCUGGUCUGUAACUGACGCUGAGGAGCGAGAGCGUGGGGAGCGAACAGGAUUAGAUACCCCGGUAGUCCCUGUCUCUUAUACC
rnacentral:rRNA from 1 species